UGUGGCAACCCGGCCCAGGCCAAUUAAGGAGAUUCAGAGCACCUGAGGAACAAGUGGAGAAGCAGGGCUUAAAUAGUCUCUUCUCCACUCAUUCGGGGCUCUCCCAGCCCUGGAGCUCCUGCACGGAGAGACCGGUCCUCGUGGGUGACGGGAUUCCCCCCACGAAGGAGGGGACCGUUGAGUCAUCCCCGGUUUUGCGUUAUUUGUGUUUUGAGAGACUUUUAUGUUUUGGAAUAAACAUGCCUUUUUUGGCUUUUCCCAACGAAAUGGUGUCCUGUUUGGGAGGAGUUGGUUCGCUCAACGUGGCGGGUUGCCACAUAUGGUGGAGGAUGCGGGCAACUCGACCGAGCUACUGGCCAUUUUGGGUGGGAGCGCCCACCUCAAGCCACCCCCCAAACCAGACCAUCACGCAGCCGGAGCCGACGCAGCCGGGGCCGACGCCGCCAGAGACGAUGCCGCCAGAGAAGACGCCGCCAGAGACGACGCAGCCCGAGACGAGGCCGCGAAACGAGCCACGCCGGCAGCAGAAGCAGCCACGCUGCGCGCCGGACCGCUGCCACCUCCGAAAGGCCACCCGAGGCUUCAGCAAAGGUUGGAGGAGUGUGGAAACCCGGCCCAGGCCAAUUAAGGAGAUUCAGAGCACCUGAGGAACAAGUGGAGAAGCAGGGCUUAAAUAGUCUCUUCUCCACUCAUUCGGGGCUCUCCCAGCCCUGGAGCUCCUGCACGGAGAGACCGGUCCUCGUGGGUGACGGGAUUCCCCCCACGAAGGAGGGGACCGUUGAGUCAUCCCCGGUUUUGCGUUAUUUGUGUUUUGAGAGACUUUUAUGUUUUGGAAUAAACAUGCCUUUUUUUGGCUUUUCCCAACGAAAUGGUGUCCUGUUUGGGAGGAGUUGGUUCGCUCAACGUGGCGGGUUGCCACAGUAUAUGUAUAUAUUGUGUUAUUUUGCAAGUAAAGUUGCCCCAACAAUGUUGUCAUUGUGGCUUGUCAUGAACACAAAUUUCUAAACUUAAUAAGGGUUUUAUUUAUUUUACAACUACAAACUUGUGUGCUUAGUCUACGGUUAAAGGAAUGCAUUUUAUCUGUUUUGCAUAACAUACGUUUUUCUAAUGACAGGGGUCCACUGUUGGCUAUGACAAAAUGAC
ensembl:lncRNA